GGAGAGUUGUCCGAGUGGCCGAAGGAGACGGUCUUGAAAACCGUUAUACCCGCAAGGGUAUCAAGGGUUCGAAUCCCUUACUCUCCGCCA
rnacentral:tRNA from 1 species